rnacentral:rRNA from 1 species
CGGCAUGCCUAACACAUGCAAGUCGAACGAGACCUUCGGGUCUAGUGGCGCACGGGUGCGUAACACGUGGGAAUUUGCCUCGGGUAUGGAAUAACUCAGGGAAACUUGAGCUAAUACCAUAUAAUGUCUUCGGACCAAAGAUUUAUCGCCCUGAGAUAAGCCCGCGUAGGAUUAGCUAGUUGGUGGGGUAAAGGCUCACCAAGGCGACGAUCCUUAGCUGGUUUGAGAGAACGACCAGCCACACUGGAACUGAGACACGGUCCAGACUCCUACGGGAGGCAGCAGUGGGAAUUUUGGACAAUGGGCGCAAGCCUGAUCCAGCAAUGCCGCGUGCAGGAUGAAGGCCUUCGGGUUGUAAACUGCUUUGUACGGAACGAAACGGUGAGCUCUAAUACAGUUUGCUAAUGACGGUACCGUAAGAAUAAGCACCGGCUAACUACGUG